GUAAAUAUAGUUUAACAAAAACAUUAGAUUGUGAAUCUAACAAUAAAAGCUCAAAUCUUUUUAUUUACC
rnacentral:tRNA from 3 species